rnacentral:lncRNA from 1 species
UUUUUUUUUGGUGUGGAAAUUACAUCAAAUAGAUUUUUUUAAGUUUCAAUUUCAAAAUUCAAAUUUAAAGUAUUUGUAUGCAAAAAUCAGAUAAUAAUUUAAAUUUUAAAUAUUAAUAAUAAUAUUAUAAUAUAAAAUAAAUCUGCAAACUCACCACCCACCAAAACACUCACCCCACCCAAUUUAAAUUAAUCUACACACCCAUUCUACCCCACACCUAGCCUACCUCAUCCACCCCAAACAUUGAAUCAUUUUUCACUUUCUAUCAUUUUCCUUCUCUCUUCUAUAUACUACCUCUUCUCAAGCAACACAUCAACUCCUACGAGCUACGACAUGGCACCUUCAGUAACGCUACACGGCGUUGAGCAAGCGACACUGUACUCAUUGCUCUGUGCCACUGCACGCAAUGUUGAUGUGUGGCAUCGAAGGGACAGACAUCGCAUCACGCAAUCGCUGCGCCUCUACGUGCGGAUGCGCAGUGCCCAUGAAGAGCGCUUCUACGGGCGGAGUUGAGUCACGAUGCAAUGGUUUUGGAUUUGGGUUUAGAUUCUCUAGCAUUGCAUUUGCCUGGCUUCUACAGCUAGAUCACAAUGUUGGUUUUCGGUGGCUUGUAGUGGCUUUGCAUUUUCCUGGCUUGUGAACUUUUUCUCUGGUGGUUUCUUGUGAUGAUUUUGCAGCAUGUGUUUUGCGUUGCUUCUUCAUAAGGAUGGCAAAUAGGCUCGAGGGCUCAGGCUGCUUAUGGCCUAGCCCGCAAAAAGCUCGAGGCUCGGUGAGGCAAAAAGCCAGAAACCGAGCCCCAUCUUGGGGUGCCAGGUCAAGCACCAGCUUGACGAAAAAAAAAAUAUGAGGUGCUUCUAAACAAAAUUUUAAAAAUAAUAAGCUAGAAAUUCUAAACACAAAUAAGAAUUCUAUUUUCUUUUUAUUUGGGACUAGGUUCUUUAGAAAGAAUCCUAGGUGAAAACAAGAGAAAUUGUAUAAAAGGAAUAGUUAGAGCCUCUAGCUUCCAAAGAUAAAGGUACAUGAACAGUCAUUUGAUCCCCAUCAAAAUCUGCACAAUGAGAUCCACCUAUACAGUAACGGUAUUUGAUUAGGAAAGUUAGCUGAGUUAUCUUUUUCUCAAAAAUGUCUGUCAUUUGAUCCAAUAGCGUUUCUACUGAAUAUUCAUAUGGUGAAGGCAUAGUCUUUUUUUUUCCUCUCAGCUGGCAGCUUGCCUUCAUGGGAAGGAAAAAAAAAAUCCAAGCCCAAAGCUCGGCUCGAGCAAAAAAAAAAAAAAAAAAAACAAUCUUAAAAAAGUUCGAGCCAAGCCCAAGGCUCGAUUUUCAACUUGCGAACCAGCUCAGCUCAUUGACACCCCUAAUUCUUGGGAUGGUGGUUUAUAGGCGGUGGCAGUGUGAGACAAUGUUGUUGGCGACUUGUUUGUGGAUAUUUUGGUAUGGGUGGUGAUGGUUGUGUGGUGUGGUGUGAUGGGUGUAAUGGAGAUAGAUGAGGUGGUGGUGGUGCAAGCCAUAGUUACCAUGGUGUUGGCAGUAGGUGCGGCUGUUGUUGGGUUUGUGUUCAAUUAUUUGGGUAUUGUGAUUAAUGAAUUGUAAAUUUGUGACCAAUUAUUAAUAUGUGACCUAGAAAAAUAUAUGAUUCUGACUAAAUUUGUAAUUGUGGUUCAAAAAUUGGUAAAUUGUGAUCAAUUAUUGAUAGCUUAUGACGUAUAAAAUUUGUAAUUUGUGAUCGUAAAAUAAGUUGUAGCCUAUAAAAUGUGAUUUAUAAUCGAUAAAAUAAUUGUAACCUAUUAAACUUUUUAUUUGUCAUCGAAAAUAAUUUGUGAUCAAUUAAUUUGAUAAUUUGUGAUCAAAUUAUAUAAAAUUAUGAACUUAAUAUAAUUAAUUAAUAAAAUAUAUUUUUAAUUAUUUAUUUCAUAUAUAAAAUAUAAUAGUAUCUGAUUUUUGAAAUUUUAAACAUUGUUUCUUAAUUUUGAAAUAGAUCAUAGUUAAUCUCUUAUAUAUAAAAUUUUCCCAUAAAUUAUUUGGGUUUACUAAUAAGGAAAAACUUUCAUAAAAUUGAUACUUUGUGAUAAAUCUAACAAAUUAGGUUCUAAUGAACUGUACAAUUACUAUAAAUUAUUGACUUACAAAUAAAUUAUUGUAAAAAUGUCUAGAAUUACAUUAGAAUCAGCUUUCCACGUUCAUACAGAUGUUCCUUUCUCAACUCAAGAAGUUUCACACAGCUGCAACUUCACCUCAAACAACUCUGCUUUACAGUCGAUCCGUGAAUGCUACUUCAAUAUUAUCUUUAAAUCAAAAUGCCGCUACCCAAUUCAACCCAGCAGAUUACAGUUACACUUAUGCAGAUGAAAAAGAAACUAAGAACUAUGCUAGCGAGCUGAGCAACUGCGUCAAGACAUCAAACGUAGGCAGGGCUAGAGCAAUCCACGCAAGACUCUUCAAAACUUCAUGGUUUGUGUUAGAUUCUUUGUAUCUUCACAACCAUUUAAUAAAUGCGUAUGUGAAAUGCGGUGACAUUACGGAUGGUCUCCAAUUGUUCAACAAAAUGCCCCAGAAGAAUGUUGUAUCUUGGACGGCCCUCAUUGCGGGCUUUGUGCAGAAGGGUUUUCCAAUUGAAGCAUUUUCUCUAUUUUCCCAAAUGCAUAGAAGUGGAAUUAGGCCUAAUGAGUUCAGUUUUGUGAGUGCACUCCACACAUGCUCAUUUUCGGAAAAUUUAACCUUAUUACACGCCUAUCAAGUUUAUGCGAUGAUUAUAAGGCUUGGAUUUGAGAAUAAUGUAUUCUUAAUGAAUGCAUUUUUGACUGCUUUAAUAAGUCAUUGUAUGCUAGAAGAAGCUAUGGAGGUGUUUGAAGGAUGUUUUCAGAGAGAUAUUGUAUCUUGGAAUGCUAUAUUCAGUGGCUGCUUGAAGUUUUCUUGUGAAGAUAUCCCAGGGUUUUGGUGUAGGAUGAUUACUGAAGGAGUGGUACCAGAUGAGUUUACUUACUCUACUGUGAUUACAGGGAUGGCUGAGCUUUCAAAUCUUGAAAUCGGAUUGCAAGUUCAUGCACGACUUGUAAAGUCUGGUCAUGGAAGUGAUAUGUGUGUGGGGAAUUCAUUGGUGGAUAUGUACUUGAAAAGUCAGAGGAUGUGUGAUGGUUUGAAAGCCUUUGAGGAGAUUACUGUGAAGGAUGUGUGCUCCUGGAGUCAGAUGGCAGCUGGAUGUUUGAAUUGUGGGGAGCCCCUUGAGGGGCUUAGGGUGAUUGAGAAAAUGAGAAAGGAUGGUGUGAAGCCUAAUAAGUUUACUCUUGCGACGGGGCUUAAUGCAUGUGCCAAUUUGGCUUCUUUGGAGGAAGGGCAGAAAAUUCACACCUUGAGAAUUAAACUUGGGGAUGAUGCUGAUGUAUGCGUGGAUAAUGCAUUGCUUGACAUGUACGCAAAAUGUGGAUACAUGCAUGGUGCAUCAAAGGUUUUCAAAUCAAUGAAUGAUUGCUCUGUUGUUUCUUGGACGACAAUGAUAAUGGGGUAUGCACAGAAUGGCCAUGCGAAAGAAGCUCUUGAGAUCUUCGAAGAAAUGAGGCAAGGAGAAGUGAAUCCUAAUUAUAUUACUCUCAUAUGUGUGUUAUAUGCAUGUAGCCAAGGAGGUUUUAUUGACAAAGGUUUGGAGUAUUUCUCUUCUAUGAGCCAAGAAUAUGGCAUUGCUCCUGGAGAAGAUCAUUAUGCUUGUAUGGUGAAUCUCCUAGGACGGGCAGGCCGUAUCAAAGAAGCUGAGGAAUUAAUCCUAGAAAUGCCAUGCGAACCAGGCGUUGUUAUUUGGCAAACCUUGCUUGGUGCUUGUCGACUUCAUGGGGAUAUGGAUACAGCAAAACGUGCUGCAGAGCAUGCAUUAGCACUUGACAAAAAUGAUCCUUCAACUUAUGUGUUGUUGUCCAAUACAUUUGCCGGUUUUGGAGAUUGGAACAGUUCAGAUAUUUUGGGACAAGUAAGAAAGAUGAGGGAUGUGAAGAAGAAACCUGGGUCGAGCUGGCUUGAAUUGAACAGCUCAUCCACUACCUAUUGCCUGGGGUCGCUGACAUUGGAGGGUCGUGCAUACAGUCAACAAACCUUUCUUUGACGUAUCAGUUUGUUGGAAAUUUUGUGGGUUUGUCUUCAGUAUCGUGGAGUAAAGCUUCAUGCACGAGUAUGAAGAUUCAAAGUAAAGGAUUUCUAGAGUCAAGCAUGGGAUAAUUAUUAUUCAUGAUGUACAUCUUGUUGUCAUUAACUCAAUUGCUAGUCUCUUUGGAAAUGAGUUGCAGCAGGUCGUGACACCUCACCUGGGUCAUGGAGGGUCGAUCUCUACAUGACGUCUCAAUUAAGGAGAUGGCAUCACUUUUGCUACCUCGAUUUGGUGGCCUCAGUUAGGCCAAGCAGAUCAGUGACAUGGAGUGCAAGCCUGAGAUGGCUGCCACGUGGUUGGUGAUCAGAGUCUCAUCGGCGUAACGUGUAAUUUUUACUAUGUUUCUUGAUUUUUAUUUUUGGGACCCGUAAAAAAAUGUUACUACCAAUUUGUUAUACUGAUUCUGAAAUGACCAAACGAUGAUUGUCAUUUUGAUACUCUUAUAUUAAUCUGAAUCUAAAACUUUUAGUUAGUUGCGGUAAAUGAGGGAGGGACCUCUACUUUGCACACCAAGAUAUCCAGGUUCUUGAUUACCAGAUCCUCCUGUUAUCUUACGGCACUGCUACCUGUAAUGCAUUUAGAAGGAUCGUCAAAAUGUGUACAGAGAAUUACGUUACACACUUUGAGGACGAAGUUCAAUGAUGGAAUUAUGGGUUGGCAAGUUCCAUCAUUGAAAGCCAAAGGAUAUAUCCAAGGAAGUGUUGUGUGCCAAUGGUUAUGGAACUUGCCAUUUCCUGAAUAUAUCGGAUAGGAAACUUGGAAUUUUUUUCUCUAAUUCUUUUAGAGUUAUACAAGUUGUCAAUUCGACGCAAAUUAAUCCUAUAGGACCUACAUUUGAAGUCCAUCCUCGGAGAUUAUUACCUGUAUGUAAUUAACAUCGACAAGGAGCAGCUGUCGCAGUGUGCUUUACCAAGCCGACGAAAAAGAAACCAACAGCUAUGUUCGACUUCGCCAGUCGUCUGCACAUAACUCCUUAAAUAAAAUGAAUUAGAAAUGGACUCAAAGCUCAAUCAAACAUAAUCUAACUCAUUAAAGGGUAAAUGAUACUAAAAUUAACUGCUCGGCAGCCAUUUGUGCAGUAUAAGCAGGAAAAAAUAAUAUCUUGGUUGACAAAAUACAAUCCCAAUUUUAGUCCACAAGGUCCUACAGUAACAACAUUGAAAUUUGAAACUACUGGUGGCACGGCUGGAGUGCUAGAAACAAUGAGAAUAAGCCAACUAGUUGUGCUAAAGUAAUAACUGCCUAAUGUAAAAAAUAAAAAAUGCUAAAGAAAUCGGAUCUCCUGUUGCCUUCAACUGAUUAUUAACCUCAGUUUGAUAUCAUUUACAGCUAAAAAUAGAAAGGAUGCAACUGCAAUUUUCUAUAGAUUAGAACUAAACUGUGGUGGUAAUUAGUUUUUGACAAGGUUAAUGGUUCAUGAGGGAGUUUCAACAUUGCCUUCAUAGAAUUUCCACAAACCGUCAUCAUGCCUCUUCAAAUAAUAUUGAAUUCUGUAUGUGCUGCAAUUACAAGGCAGGAAUUGUUAGAAAAUAUCUAAAACAAAAUAUAAACAGAUAAAUAGGUUAUAUCAUAUUUUUUACAAAACAGCCAUUUUUCAUGAUAAUUAUGCUACUAAAGCUCAAAAUAUGAAGGUCAGAACCCUUCUGUUUUGUUGGUAAUGCAAGUAACAACAUUGAAAUUUGAAACUACUGGUGGCACGGCUGGAGUGCUAGAAACAAUGAGAAUAAGCCAACUAGUUGUGCUAAAGUAAUAACUACCUAAUGUAAAAAAUAAAAAAUGCUAAAGAAAUCGGAUCUCCUGUUGCCUUCAACUGAUUAUUAACCUCAGUUUGAUAUCAUUUACAGCUAAAAAUAGAAAGGAUGCAACUGCAAUUUUCUAUAGAUUAGAACUAAACUGUGGUGGUAAUUAGUUUUUGACAAGGUUAAUGGUUCAUGAGGGAGUUUCAACAUUGCCUUCAUAGAAUUUCCACAAACCGUCAUCAUGCCUCUUCAAAUAAUAUUGAAUUCUGUAUGUGCUGCAAUUACAAGGCAGGAAUUGUUAGAAAAUAUCUAAAACAAAAUAUAAACAGAUAAAUAGGUUAUAUCAUAUUUUUUACAAAACAGCCAUUUUUCAUGAUAAUUAUGCUACUAAAGCCCAAAAUAUGAAGGUCAGAACCCUUCUGUUUUGUUGGUAAUGCAAAGUAGCAAAGAGACAUAUAUUCACAAGUGUUUAAGCAUGAAAACAAUUGACAUUUAGACAGCAAAACUGGCCAAGCACCAACAAUUUCUAUGCUCAAAAUCAUUAAUUCAUU